CACGGGGGGAGCAAGCGUUGUUCGGAAUCACUGGGCGUAAAGGGCGUGUAGGCGGUCAGGUAAGUGAGAUGUGAAAUGCCCCGGCUCACCCGGGGACCGGCAUCUCAUACUGCUUGGCUUGAGUACGGGAGAGGAUGUGGGAAUUCCUGGUGUAGCGGUGAAAUGCGUAGAUAUUGGGAGGAACACCGGUGGCGAAGGCGGCCCCCUGGACCGGUACUGACGCUGAGGCGCGAAAGCGUGGGUAGCAAACGGG
rnacentral:rRNA from 1 species